ensembl:lncRNA
UCCUCCUUGUCUGCUUAUUCAGGCAGCAACCUAGAGAAUGCAAAGGUUAUUCGAUUUCCCCAAAUUGGCUUUCCAUGGGCAGAUCUGUGAAGUUUCUGAAGACAAAAAGAGAGGUCAUCGCUUCUUUCCAUCACACUUGCCAUAUACGUCCUGUGAGAGUCACCUGGAGACCCACACACUGCCUGCCUUCAAAGCUUCCUGACAUGAGAACAUACUCUCUGUUACCCAGGCAGGCACCUACCCAGGGGAGGUAGCAGUGCUGAAAUGAAGAAUUCAAGCCUGCCAAAGCCUCCCAGUCUUCACUGCUUUGUAUGAACUCCUUCCAAGCCUUUCCCUGCUAUCCAGUAAAGCAGUGCGCUUAACUUUGCUUUGGGGAAAAAAAAAAAAAAAAAAAAAAAGAAAUCUGAAGAUGGCUCAGUGUUAAUAAACGCUUGGGCCCAAGACGUUUGAGGAGACAAUGUCUUCUUUCAGAUUCCCACCAUGGUGAGCGUACGUCCGGCUGCGCGGCCAUGCGGGGGUCUGAGCAUCGCAUGGCCCAGAUUCCUUUCCUGACUUGCAAUUGUUCUGCUCCGUGACCUAUCUCCGUCAUCGCUCCCCACAGCCCUGAUUGCUGUCGCCCUCAAGUCCUGGGAAAGGCACUUAACCUCCCUGAGAUUCAGUUGUGACCUCUGUGAAAGAAAUUGUUCUGCAGCCUCACGCAAGAAGUGCUCUGGAAGCUGGGAAUGAGCUGCUUUUGCUCGUUAGCGAGAGCUCAACGGAGUUAAAAGUGGAGAAAGAAAUAGCAUAUGACCCCGAUAAUCCCUUCUGAUGCCUGCGCUGUGCCCCGCUACCUGACCUGCCUGUUCUGGGCCUACGCGAGGAGCCGUGGGAGCCGCGCAUCUCCCGCCCUGGGGCUGGCAGGGCCCCCGUGCUCACGUGGCAUUUCGGCGCUGUGCUCUCUCACACCCAGAUGUUUGCAUGGAGCAUACCAAGCAUUUUGAUAUCUUUUUGCCUUCAUCCCGAAGCUUUGCUGAGCAACUGAGCUCUCCCCUGCCCUACUGCUGAGUAUCUCACCUCCUGGUGCACUCUUCAUCUUCACCGUGUGAGUUAAGCCCUAGUUGCCCACGCUGAAAAUUUCAGAAGUCCUGAAUGAAUUUCUUCCCCUGCUGGAAAGGAAGUUGUCUCUUUUGUUUGAGAGCCGUGGCACGCUGCAGCAGGCUUCCUGUUAAGAUGCUUUCUCGUCCCAGUAACCCUUUGUGUCAUCCAAAACUCAUCUCACGAGCCGUGCGAGGAAUGCAGGCCUACACAUAAUCCUGAGGAACGUUUGGUUAGUAACAAACUCAUUCAUCUCCACGGAGUGGGCUAAAGGCAAACAGUAAUUACCCCAAAAUCACCUUCUACCAGUAGUCUCAAUUUCUGCAUUUUAUUGUGUCACAUACAGAUGUGCUCCUGCUUCUGUUCUUGAAGACUGAGAUGAAUCAGCUGAUGAAGGAGGGGAAGCACGGGUGUAAUUUUAGCUCUUUGGUACAUUGUGAAAUGCGAUGUUUUUAAUGCGAUUCCUCGAGUUCAGACUAAUAUUAUUUAUUCACUGUGUAGGAAGUCUUCCAUAAUGUGAAUAUAUAUACCUGACAUAGACAGAAUAUUUCUUGAGAAUCGACCAAUUUGUUAAUACAAUCACACUCAUUUGAUGUCUUCAUUUUUAAGAAUUCAUCAAUUACCUGAUCAAGAAACUCACUUCACAGCUACCAUUUACAGUAACAAAAUGCUGAUUUAUAUCUUCCUAGAUUAUAAAAUGCAUAGAGAAAAUAUGAGCUUGACUCAUGUCCCCUCUGUGUGCACUAUUUGGAUCACUGCACAGUAUCCUAAAAUAUAUUUUCUGACAAUUCAACUUCUGGAACUAUAAAUGUAUGAGACCACUGCAUUUCUGAGAAGGUCUGCACAUUUUUGCUAUACGAGCAAAAAAAUACUAUUAUUAUUAUUAUUAUUAUUAUUAUUAUUAUUAUUAUUAUUAUUAUUAUUAUUAUUGUGUCCACUGAGCCACAAAAUCAUCAAAACGAGAGUGAAAUCUCAAACAGAGACACAGUUUUUUUAGGGCAUAAUGAUGCUGCUGAAAGACAAGUAGCCAUCACCUAUAUGCAAGGCUUUUCUGUUUCUACUGUCCUCUCUUACUCUUUCCCACUUUACUUUCCAGGUUCAGUGAAUGUCAGCGAAGCAGCCGGCCCCAUCCUAAAUGCUAAUAUCAGACAAAAGGUACCUGCAAAGCAACACUGAUGGAAAAAUCCCUAUGAAAAAUAAAAUCCUAUAACAAAUAGAUUUGCUUCCCACUUGAAAUACAGUGAAAAUGUUGCAUUAGCAAGUAAGCUAGUGGCUUACAAAUAUGUGCUUCUUAGUAUAAAGAAGUAGAAGAAAAACGCAGUAUGAAACAACUCGAGGUCAAUAAAGUAUGACACUGCAGCUUAUGGAUGAAAUUAAACCUCAGGCUCACAAUAUUUAAAUAGUGGUGCUUUUAAUAAAAGUUGCUGGGUUUGUUGUUUUUUGUUUUUUUUUUUUAAUUUUGCAUUGCCUAUUAUGUUUCAAAGGAAGAAAGACUCAAAUUUGAGAGCUUCUCAUUUCAGCUUGCAAUUGGCGUAUUCUGUGCGUUUCUGCUUUCAUUCUGAUUUUCAAUAGUGCUUUUUGAAAGAUAAUU